rnacentral:tRNA from 1 species
CCUCUGGUAGCUCAGUUGGUAGAGCGGUGGACUGUAGAUCCAUGGGUCGCUGGUUCAAAUCCGGCCCGGAGGA